GACGAACGCUGGCGGCGUGCUUAACACAUGCAAGUCGAACGGUAAGGCCCUUCGGGUACACGAGUGGCGAACGGGUGAGUAACACGUGGUGAUCUGCCCUGCACUUCGGGAUAAGCCUGGGAAACUGGGUCUAAUACCGGAUAGGACCAUGGACUUCACGGUUUGUGGUGGAAAGCUUUUGCGGUGUGGGAUGGGGCCCGCGGCCUAUCAGCUUGUUGGUGGGGUAAUGGCCUACCAAGGCGACGACGGGUAGCCGGCCUGAGAGGGUGUCCGGCCACACUGGGACUGAGAUACGGCCCAGACUCCUACGGGAGGCAGCAGUGGGGAAUAUUGCACAAUGGGCGCAAGCCUGAUGCAGCGACGCCGCGUGAGGGAUGACGGCCUUCGGGUUGUAACCUCUUUCAAUA
rnacentral:rRNA from 1 species